rnacentral:rRNA from 1 species
GAAGCUGCGGCAGCGACACUGUGUGUUGUUGGGUAGGGGAGCGUUCUGUAAGCCUGUGAAGGUGUGUCGUGAGGCAUGCUGGAGGUAUCAGAAGUGCGAAUGCUGACAUAAGUAACGAUAAAGCGGGUGAAAAGCCCGCUCGCCGGAAGACCAAGGGUUCCUGUCCAACGUUAAUCGGGGCAGGGUGAGUCGACCCCUAAGGCGAGGCCGAAAGGCGUAGUCGAUGGGAAACGGGUUAAUAUUCCCGUACUUGGUGUUACUGCGAAGGGGGGACGGAGAAGGCUAUGUUGGCCGGGCGACGGUUGUCCCGGUUUAAGCGUGUAGGUGUGUGUUCCAGGUAAAUCCGGUUCACUUUAACACUGAGGCGUGACGACGAGGCACUACGGUGCUGAAGCAACAAAUGCCCUGCUUCCAGGAAAAGCCUCUAAGCAUCAGGUAACAUCAAAUCGUACCCCAAACCGACACAGGUGGUCAGGUAGAGAAUACCAAGGCGCUUGAGAGAACUCGGGUGAAGGAACUAGGCAAAAUGGUGCCGUAACUUCGGGAGAAGGCACGCUGACACGUAGGUGAAGUGAUUUACUCAUGGAGCUGAAGUCAGUCGAAGAUACCAGCUGGCUGCAACUGUUUAUUAAAAACACAGCACUGUGCAAACACGAAAGUGGACGUAUACGGUGUGACGCCUGCCCGGUGCCGGAAGGUUAAUUGAUGGGGUCAGCGCAAGCGAAGCUCCUGAUCGAAGCCCCGGUAAACGGCGGCCGUAACUAUAACGGUCCUAAGGUAGCGAAAUUCCUUGUCGGGUAAGUUCCGACCUGCACGAAUGGCGUAAUGAUGGCCAGGCUGUCUCCACCCGAGACUCAGUGAAAUUGAACUCGCUGUGAAGAUGCAGUGUACCCGCGGCAAGACGGAAAGACCCCGUGAACCUUUACUAUAGCUUGACACUGAACAUUGAGCCUUGAUGUGUAGGAUAGGUGGGAGGCUUUGAAGUGUGGACGCCAGUCUGCAUGGAGCCGACCUUGAAAUACCACCCUUUAA